rnacentral:piRNA from 1 species
UGAAAUAAAUUCGUAUUUGUGGACCGCUU